GCAUGCUCUCUAUAUGAUCUUAAAUAUAUUACACCAUACAUUAAAAAUCGAUAAAAGAUUCAACAAUUAUAAUAUUGUGUUUCCAUCUUUCUCUGUGAAUUUCAUUGCAUAGGUGACGCAAUGCGCAUGCACGACGGUCCACUAAGUCUCCUUGAUGCCGUUUAUUUUAUGAUAGGUUAUAACCAAGCUUCGUUAAAUCCACUCGUUAAUAAUAGAUAAUUAAAAUAUUUUAUCUAACCUACAUCCCUAUUUUAUAUACUAAUCGAUAGUUGAAAAUGUGAUUUUCACGAAGUGAAUUUCAAAAUGUGAAUAUUCGCAAGUUGUGAUAUCGUUUCGUUUAAAAAAUAUCCACAAAAAUAAAAUCGGUAUCUUCUUACGCUUUCUAUUUCGAAUUAUCUUGUCUUAUUUUUGACAGUAUCGGUACUUCUUUCACUUUUUAACGAUGUAGCAAUUAAUAAUUUGCCAUUAAUUAUACUUCAUAUAUCGUAUUUCAUUUGAUUUUCAUAUACACAGGCUUCCAAAAGUUGUACGUGCUGGAAAAGAACGGUAAACGGAUAGAGAAAACAAUUAUAUAUAGAUAUACACGCGAAGCAGUUUUACAUCACAUCAAGCUUAUUAUUAGAUAGGAAAUCGUCCUAGGAUAUCGAUAUGGAGACAAUUAUUUUACGUUUUAAUAUUAUAGUUUUAUAUUUUAUAGUUAUAUUUUAAUAUCAUAUAUAUUUGUCGUCAUAAGAUUCAUCAGUAACAAAAAAAUUAUUAUUCCGAAGCUCUGGAAAAAAUUUAAAGAACCGUAAUAAAGCGUUAUGAAUAUCUCUUGCAA